UACGGGGGGGGCAAGCGUUGUUCGGAAUUACUGGGCGUAAAGGGUUUGUAGGUGGCCAACUAAGUCAGACGUGAAAUCCCUCAGCUUAACUGGGGAACUGCGUCUGAGACUGGAUGGCUUGAGUGCAGGAGAGGAACGCGGAAUUCCCGGUGUAGUGGUGAAAUGCGUAGAUAUCGGGAGGAACACCAGUGGCGAAGGCGACUUCCUGGCCUGUUCUUGACGCUGAGGCGCGAAAGCUAGGGGAGCAAACGGG
rnacentral:rRNA from 1 species